GAUGAACGCUGGCGGCGUGCCUAAUACAUGCAAGUCGAGCGAACGGACGAGAAGCUUGCUUCUCUGAUGUUAGCGGCGGACGGGUGAGUAAGACGUGGAUAACCUACCUAUAAGACUGGGAUAACUUCGGGAAACCGGAGCUAAUACCGGAUAAUAUUUUGAACCGCAUGGUUCAAAAGUGAAAGACGGUCUUGCUGUCACUUAUAGAUGGAUCCGCGCUGCAUUAGCUAGUUGGUAAGGUAACGGCUUACCAAGGCAACGAUGCAUAGCCGACCUGAGAGGGUGAUCGGCCACACUGGAAUUGAGACACGGUCCAGACUCCUACGGGAGGCAGCAGUAGGGAAUCUUCCGCAAUGGGCGAAAGCCUGACGGAGCAACGCCGCGUGAGUGAUGAAGGUCUUCGGAUCGUAAAACUCUGUUAUUAGGGAAGAACAUAUGUGUAAGUAACUGUGCACAUCUUGACGGUACCUAAUCAGAAAGCCACGGCUAACUACGUG
rnacentral:rRNA from 1 species